rnacentral:lncRNA from 1 species
UAACGAGUCUUCUGUCCCAAAGGAGCAGGCUCGCCCGAUGGUUCAGCUAUCCCGCAACGAAUGAUACCACCACAUGCUCUUAGACCAUGUGGUGGAGUUUUCAGUUGCGGGAUAACAUGAAAACUGAGAACAACCAUGGAUUAAUUACCGCUUGAUUUUCAGAAUGAAGAAUUCAGGUAUAAUAUGCAUAACAAUAACAACUCAUCCAUUGAAGUCCCUCUACUAUUUGAUAAAUAAAUAUGAUUUUAUUUUUGCCUCUAAAAUUAAGUCCACUAGAUUGUAUUUUUAUGUAGUUUCCAGAUGAAUGGAUGGUAUAUUGGUUCGUUUCAGUUUGUUUGUUAAUUGUUACAGACCACACGUUCUUUUCUG